UACGUAGGGCGCAAGCGUUGUCCGGAAUUAUUGGGCGUAAAGAGCUCGUAGGCGGUUUGUCGCGUCUGCUGUGAAAUCCCGAGGCUCAACCUCGGGUCUGCAGUCGAUACGGGCGGACUGGAGUUCGGCAGGGGAGACUGGAAUUCCUGGUGUAGCGGUGAAAUGCGCAGAUAUCAGGAGGAACACCGGUGGCGAAGGCGGGUCUCUGGGCCGAUACUGACGCUGAGGAGCGAAAGCGUGGGGAGCGAACAGG
rnacentral:rRNA from 1 species